CGGUACGCCGUAUGCAGGGGGACAACAGUCAGAAAUGACUGCUAAUACCGCAUAAGCACACAAUGCUGCAUGGCAUGGUGUGAAAAGAUUUAUCGGCAUACGAUGGCCCCGCGUCUGAUUAGCCAGUUGGCAGGGUAACGGCCUACCAAAGCAACGAUCAGUAGCCGGCUUGAGAGAGUGACCGGCCACAUUGGGACUGAGACACGGCCCAGACUCCUACGGGAGGCAGCAG
rnacentral:rRNA from 1 species